CACGGGGGGCGCAAGCGUUGUUCGGAAUCACUGGGCGUAAAGGGCGUGUAGGCGGUCAGGUAAGUGGAAUGUGAAAGCCCCCGGCUCACCCGGGGAUCUGCAUCCCAAACUGCCUGGCUUGAGUACGGGAGAGGAUGAGGGAAUUCCUGGUGUAGCGGUGAAAUGCGUAGAUAUCAGGAGGAACACCGGUGGCGAAGGCGCUCAUCUGGCCCGAUACUGACGCUGAGGCGCGAAAGCUAGGGGAGCAAACGGG
rnacentral:rRNA from 1 species